UACAGAGGGUGCGAGCGUUAAUCGGAAUUACUGGGCGUAAAGCGUGCGUAGACGGUAGCGUAAGUCAGAUGUGAAAGCCCCGGGCUCAACCUGGGAAUUGCAUUUGAGACUGCUCUGCUCGGGUGCGGAAGAGGGAAGCGGAAUUUCCGGUGUAGCGGUGAAAUGCGUAGAUAUCGGAAGGAACACCAGUGGCGAAGGCGGUUCUCUGGGACGGUACUGACGCUGAGACGCGAAAGCGUGGGGAGCGAACAGG
rnacentral:rRNA from 1 species